UAUCCCAAACUGGGAUUAGAUACCCCACUAUGCUUAGCCCUAAACAUAAAUAGUUCUAUAACAAAACAAUUCGCCAGAGAACUACUAGCAACAGCUUAAAACUCAAAGGACUUGGCGGUGCUUUAUAUCCC
rnacentral:rRNA from 1 species